rnacentral:rRNA from 1 species
UACCAGCACCCCGAGUGGUCGGGACGAUUAUUGGGCCUAAAGCAUCCGUAGCCGGUUUUACAAGUCCUCCGUUAAAUCCAGCUGCUUAACAGAUGGGCCUGCGGAGGAUACUAUAAGACUAGGAGGCAGGAGAGGCAAGCGGUACUCAGUGGGUAGGGGUAAAAUCCGUUGAUCCAUUGAAGACCACCAGUGGCGAAGGCGGCUUGCCAGAAUGCGCUCGACGGUGAGGAUGAA